ensembl:miRNA
UUCAUUCGGCUGUCCAGAUGUAUCCAAGUACCCAGUUAUUUGGCAAUAAAUACAUCUGGGCAACUGAUUGAACU